GACGAACGCUGGCGGCGUGCUUAACACAUGCAAGUCGAACGGAAAGGCCCUGCUUUUGUUGGGUGCUCGAUUGGCGAACGGGUGAGUAACACGUGAGUAACCUGCCCUUGUCUUUGGGAUAACUUCAGGAAACUGGGGCUAUUACCGGAUAGGAUCUCCUGCUGCAUGGUGGGCGUUGGAAAGUUUCGGCGGUUGGGGAUGGAUUCGCGGCUUAUGCGCUUGUUGGGGGGGUAGUGGCGUACGAAGGCUGUGAAGGGUAGCCGGCCUUGGAGGGUGGCCGGGGACAUGGGGCCUGAGAGAGGGAGCAGACGGCUACGGGACGCAGUAGUGGAGAGCAUGGCACAAUGGGCGGAAGUCUGAUGUAGCAACGCUGCGUGCGGGAUGCUGGCUUUCGGGUUGUAAACCGAUGUGGACUGUGACGAAGCGGGAGUGACGGUAAUGGGUAAAGAAGCCCCGGCUAACUACGUG
rnacentral:rRNA from 1 species